CUCACCUGGGAUCAGCUCUGCUUCAGUGCAGGUUGUCGUGGAGAAGAGGAGUGAACACACUCUAUCGGAUUAGAAACUUAGCCCAAAGUCUUGAUCCAACUGUUUUCAACAUGAUGCAUUUACAUCAAGACAGAAGACAUGUGCAGGAGGAGCGCAGCCAAAAAAUAAUCAGGUACGCAUGUUCUGCAUGUCUGUUGCUGUAUUUCAGUUGCUGCUGCAAAGUAAGUUUCCCUUGAAAAGCAGAACAACCAAAGUCCAGAGUACAACAGAUGCAUCCAGUUCAGUAUCUGUGUGAGGACUGAUAUUCUGGAGGAGCUGUGAUUGCAGAAUGAUCUUCAGACGUCACGUUAUCGUGCAUUGGAGAAAAUAAACAAUCCAUAACAUCA